CAUAAUAAAAUAUGAAGGCUGUACGCGGCUGUGCUCUCGGGCCAGUUUUGCGGAGGCUGAAUUAUUUAUUACCCUUGUCUUCUGCGCACUUGUUGUUUCCUGGGCGGGUUCGCCCGCCACCAGGACCACAUCAUAAACCUUUUUUAUGCAGUUGCAAUCAGCGUCAGUAUAACAAAUGUAAAUCAUUA
rnacentral:misc_RNA from 1 species